rnacentral:rRNA from 1 species
GACGAACGCUGGCGGCGUGCUUAACACAUGCAAGUCGAGCGGAGCGGCGAACGGGUGAGUAACGCGUGAGUAACUGCCCCCCUCUCUGGGAUAACAGUUGGAAACGGCUGCUAAUACCGGCUAGUGGGGGAUGACUCGCGUCCUAUCAGCUUGUUGGUGGGGUAGUGGCCUACCAAAGCGACGACGGGUAGUCGACCUGAGACGGCGACCGGCCACAUUGGGCUGAGAUACGAGCCAUACUCCUACGGGAGGCAGCAGUGGGUAAUAGUGCGCAAUGGGGGGAACCCUGAUGCAGCAACGCCGCGUGCGGGAUGUCGGCCUUCGGGUUGUAAACCGCUUUCGGCCAUGACGCGGUAGUGGCAGAAGAAGCACCGGCUAACUACGUGCCAGCAGCCGCGGUAAUAC